rnacentral:tRNA from 1 species
CUCCAAGAAGCUUUUACAGCACUAGCCUUUUAAGCUAGAGAAGGGGACUAAAACCCCCCUUGGUGA